rnacentral:rRNA from 1 species
AUUGAACGCUGGCGGCAGGCCUAACACAUGCAAGUCGAGCGGUAGCACAGAGAGCUUGCUCUCGGGUGACGAGCGGCGGACGGGUGAGUAAUGUCUGGGAAACUGCCUGAUGGAGGGGGAUAACUACUGGAAACGGUAGCUAAUACCGCAUAAUGUCGCAAGACCAAAGUGGGGGACCUUCGGGCCUCAUGCCAUCAGAUGUGCCCAGAUGGGAUUAGCUAGUAGGUGGGGUAAUGGCUCACCUAGGCGACGAUCCCUAGCUGGUCUGAGAGGAUGACCAGCCACACUGGAACUGAGACACGGUCCAGACUCCUACGGGAGGCAGCAGUGGGGAAUAUUGCACAAUGGGCGCAAGCCUGAUGCAGCCAUGCCGCGUGUGUGAAGAAGGCCUUCGGGUUGUAAAGCACUUUCAGCGGGGAGGAAGGCGGUGAGGUUAAUAACCUCAUCGAUUGACGUUACCCGCAGAAGAAGCACCGGCUAACUCCGUGCCAGCAGCCGCGGUAAUACGGAGGGUGCAAGCGUUAAUCGGAAUUACUGGGCGUAAAGCGCACGCAGGCGGUCUGUCAAGUCGGAUGUGAAAUCCCCGGGCUCAACCUGGGAACUGCAUUCGAAACUGGCAGGCUAGAGUCUUGUAGAGGGGGGUAGAAUUCCAGGUGUAGCGGUGAAAUGCGUAGAGAUCUGGAGGAAUACCGGUGGCGAAGGCGGCCCCCUGGACAAAGACUGACGCUCAGGUGCGAAAGCGUGGGGAGCAAACAGGAUUAGAUACCCUGGUAGUCCACGCCGUAAACGAUGUCGAUUUGGAGGUUGUGCCCUUGAGGCGUGGCUUCCGGAGCUAACGCGUUAAAUCGACCGCCUGGGGAGUACGGCCGCAAGGUUAAAACUCAAAUGAAUUGACGGGGGCCCGCACAAGCGGUGGAGCAUGUGGUUUAAUUCGAUGCAACGCGAAGAACCUUACCUGGUCUUGACAUCCACAGAACUUUCCAGAGAUGGAUUGGUGCCUUCGGGAACUGUGAGACAGGUGCUGCAUGGCUGUCGUCAGCUCGUGUUGUGAAAUGUUAGGUUAAGUCCCGCAACGAGCGCAACCCUUAUCCUUUGUUGCCAGCGGUCCGGCCGGGAACUCAAAGGAGACUGCCAGUGAUAAACUGGAGGAAGGUGGGGAUGACGUCAAGUCAUCAUGGCCCUUACGACCAGGGCUACACACGUGCUACAAUGGCAUAUACAAAGAGAAGCGACCUCGCGAGAGCAAGCGGACCUCAUAAAGUAUGUCGUAGUCCGGAUUGGAGUCUGCAACUCGACUCCAUGAAGUCGGAAUCGCUAGUAAUCGUAGAUCAGAAUGCUACGGUGAAUACGUUCCCGGGCCU